GCAUCGUUGGUGUAGUGGUAGCAUAGCAGCCUUCCAAGCUGUUGUUGACAUGUGUUCGAUUCCCGUACGAUGCA